UACGAAGGGGGCUAGCGUUGCUCGGAAUUACUGGGCGUAAAGGGCGCGUAGGCGGCACUGUUAGUCAGGCGUGAAAUUCCUGGGCUCAACCUGGGGACUGCGCUUGAUACGGCAGAGCUUGAGGAUGGAAGAGGGUCGCGGAAUUCCCAGUGUAGAGGUGAAAUUCGUAGAUAUUGGGAAGAACACCGGUGGCGAAGGCGGCGACCUGGUCCAUUACUGACGCUGAGGCGCGAAAGCUAGGGGAGCAAACGGG
rnacentral:rRNA from 1 species